rnacentral:rRNA from 1 species
AGCAGCCGCGGUAAUUCCAGCUCCAAUAGCGUAUAUUAAAGUUGUUGCAGUUAAAAAGCUCGUAGUUGAAUUUCGGGAUCAAUUUGCUGGUCGUGCCUUCGGUACGCACUGGUAUUAUUGGUUUCUCCUUUCUGAUGAAUCGCGAUGUCAUUAAUUUGGUGUCGUGGGGAAUCAGGAUCGUUACUUUGAAAAAAUUAGAGUGUUUAAAGCAGGCUCACGCUUGAAUACAUUAGCAUGGAAUAAUGAAAUAGGACGUUUGAUUCUAUUUUGUUGGUUUCUAGGAUCGACGUAAUGAUUAAUAGGGAUAGUUGGGGGCAUUAGUAUUCAAUUGUCAGAGGUGAAAUUCUUGGAUUUAUUGAAGACUAACUACUGCGAAAGCAUUUGCCAAGGAUGUUUUCAUUAAUCAAGAACGAAAGUUAGGGGAUCGAAGACGAUCAGAUACCGUCGUAGUCUUAACCAUAAACUAUGCCGACUAGGGAUCGGAUGAUGUUAAUUUUUAAUGA